UACGUAGGGGGCUAGCGUUGUCCGGAAUCAUUGGGCGUAAGGAGCGUGUAGGCGGCCCGGUAAGUCCGCUGUGAAAGUCAAAGGCUCAACCUUUGAAUGUCAGCGGAUACUGCCGGGCUAGAGUCCGGAAGAGGCGAGUGGAACUCCUGGUGUAGCGGUGGAAUGCGCAGAUAUCAGGAAGAACACCAACGGCGAAGGCAGCUCGCUGGGACGGUACUGACGCUGAGACGCGAAAGCGUGGGGAGCAAACAGG
rnacentral:rRNA from 1 species